rnacentral:rRNA from 1 species
UACGUAGGGGGCAAGCGUUGUCCGGAUUUAUUGGGCGCAAAGCGCGUGUAGGCGGCCAGGUAGGUCCGUUGUGAAAACUCGAGGCUCAACCUCGAGACGUCGAUGGAAACCGUAUGGCUAGAGUCCGGAAGAGGAGAGUGGAAUUCCUGGUGUAGCGGUGAAAUGCGCAGAUAUCAGGAAGAACACCCGUGGCGAAGGCGGCUCUCUGGGACGGUACUGACGCUGAGACGCGAAAGCGUGGGGAGCGAACAGG